CCUGGUGGCUCAGAGGGUAAAGCGUCUGCCUACAAGGCAGGAGACCUGGGUUCGAUCCCUGGGUCAGGA
rnacentral:tRNA from 1 species